CCUACGGGUGGCAGCAGUCGAGAAUCAUUCACAAUGGGGGAAACACUGAUGCAGCGACGCCGCGUGUGGGAAGACGGUCCUCUGUAUUGUAAACCACUGUCCCCAGGGACGAAGAUGACGGUACCGGGGGAGGAAGCUCCGGCUAACUACGUGCCCGCAGCCGCGGUAAUACGUAGGGAGCAAGCGUUGUCCGGAAUUACUGGGGGUAAAGGGAGCGUAGGGGGGAUGGCAAGUUGGGUGUUAAAUCUACCGGCUCAACUGGUAGUCGCACUCAAAACUGCUAUUCUUGAGUGAAGUAGAGGCAGGCGGAAUUCCUAGUGUAGCGGUGAAAUGCGUAGAUAUUAGGAGGAACACCAGUGGCGAAGGCGGCCUGCUGGGCUUUUACUGACGCUGAGGCUCGAAAGUGUGGGGAGCAAACAGGAUUAGAUACCCGGGUAGUC
rnacentral:rRNA from 1 species